rnacentral:lncRNA from 1 species
GGUGAGAUAGUGUCUGGAGAGCCCCUGGAGAUGCCACUCACAGAAUUGCCUAGAAACCUGUGUUGAUUCUAAAGACUGAACCCAAGCUCACCUGGAAGGGGGGACACCUGCCAUUUCUAGUUUUACUAUCAAUUAAACUGUUCACUACAGUAACUGAUUGGUGAAUUCUUUCAAAUUAUUAAAUAUGACUUUUAACAUUGAGACUUUCUAUGCACUCACAUCUUUUUAUCACUGAUUGGCAAAUCUCUUCAUCUACUUCCUCUGGAGCCCUCUCUGAUGUCCUGGGCUGAAGUAGGUGUUUCUGUUCUG